rnacentral:rRNA from 1 species
UACGAAGGGGCUAGCGUUGUUCGGAAUCACUGGGCGUAAAGGGCGCGUAGGCGGCCGAUCAAGUCGGGGGUGAAAGCCUGUGGCUCAACCACAGAAUUGCCUUCGAUACUGUUUGGCUUGAGACCGGAAGAGGUAAGUGGAACUGCGAGUGUAGAGGUGAAAUUCGUAGAUAUUACGCAAGAACACCAGUGGCGAAGGCGGCUUACUGGUCCGGGUUC